AAACCUGAGAUAAUACAGAAUAUCACAGUAUGAAAACACUGAAGACCAGUUUAAUGAGAAGCCAAACUGCCCAGCAGGUGGUGAUGCUGAAUAUGGAAAUAUUCCUUUGAACACUAAAUUGGGUACAUGUUAACCAAGACCAAAAAUGUACAGUCAGUUAAAAAAAAGUGCAUUCAGUCACUUAUUCAAGAAUUAAACACAAUGAGGUUUUUGUCCUCGGUGUUGGUAAAACUAUAUCUGAUGUAGUCUGCUGUAAUUGCUCUCAGGGU